rnacentral:rRNA from 1 species
AGCAGCCGCGGUAAUUCCAGCUCCAAUAGCGUAUAUUAAAGUUGUUGCAGUUAAAGAGCUCGUAGUUGAAUUUCGGGAUCAAUAUGUCGGUCGUGCUUCGGUACGUACUGGCAUCAUUGGUUUCUCCUUUCUGAUGAACCAUGAUGCCAUUAAUUUGGUGUUAUGGGGAAUCAGGACUGUUACUUUGAAAAAAUUAGAGUGUUUAAAGCAGGCUCACGCUUGAAUACAUUAGCAUGGAAUAAUGAAAUAGGACGUUUGAUUCUAUUUUGUUGGUUUCUAGGAUCGACGUAAUGAUUAAUAGGGAUAGUUGGGGGCAUUAGUAUUCAAUUGUCAGAGGUGAAAUUCUUGGAUUUAUUGAAGACUAACUACUGCGAAAGCAUUUGCCAAGGAUGUUUUCAUUAAUCAAGAACGAAAGUUAGGGGAUCGAAGACGAUCAGAUACCGUCGUAGUCUUAACCAUAAACUAUGCCGACUAGGGAUCGGAUGAUGUUAAUUUUUUAAUGUACUU